AGUCUGGUGCCAGCAGCCGCGGUAAUACCAGCUCUUCUAGCAUAUAUUAAAGUUGCUGCAGUUAAAACGCUCGUAGUUUGAAUUAUUUUGGUUGCCGGGGGCUGGAAAAUUUAAUUUUUCAAGCUUUCGGUGGCUGAAUUAAAGUUGGGGUGGAGCAGAUUAAGUUCUCUUCAUCCAGAUAACCUUGAAAAAAUAUUGUCGCUCAAAAAAGGACGGAAUGUCUAUUGAGAUUUCAGCAUGGGAUUAUAGAAAAAGGGAGAUUGGUUGCAAGAGGGGGUAAAAGCCCGAUUGGCCAGUUUCCAAUGGUUAAUGAGGACGAUGCGUGGGAGUUCAUAUUAAAUUGUCAGAGGUGAAAUUCUUGGAUUAAUUUAAGAUGAACAUCAGCGAAGGCGUUCUUCAAGUGCGUGCCUGUCGAUCAAGAACGAAAGUUGGGGGAUCGAAGACGAUCAGAUACCGUCGUAGUCUCAACCUUAAACUAUGCCGACUAUGAAUAGGAUAUCGUUUUAAGAAAAGUGUCAAAGCUUUUCUGAUGACUUCUCCUGCGCAUUAAAGGAAAUUAAGAGUUUUUGGGUUCCGGGGGGAGUAUAGUCGCAAGGCCGAAACUUAAAGGAAUUGACGGAAGGGCACCACCAGGUGUGGAGCCUGCGGCUUAAUUUGACCCAACACGGGGAAACUUACCAGGUCCAGACAGCGUGAGGAUUGACAGAUUGAUAGCUCUUUCAUGAUUCGUUGGGUGGUGGUGCAUGGCCGUUCUUAGUUGGUGGUGUGAGUUGUCUGGUUGAUUCCGUUAACGAACGAGACCUUUGUUGUAUAAUACGAGGCGCUAGUUUUUGCGUCAAGGGUGGCGGCUCCUUCUCGAGAUACGAGCAAUCGCCUUGGGAAAAGAGUUGUCACUUGCAUAGCUAGCGUCAGUUUCGUUCUAUACAAGACAAAUACAGAAAAUGUAUUGGAAGUUAUAGGCAAAAACAGGUCUGUGAUGCCCUUCGAUGUUCUGGGCUGCACGCGCGCUACAAUGACAAUGUCAGCGAGUUUUUUAGCUUGGGCGAAAGCUCUGGCAAAUCUUCGAAACGUUGUCGUACUAUGGAUUGUUGAUUGCAACUAUUCGACAUAAAACAGGAAUACCUAGUAGACGUGCUUCAUCAGAGUACGUCGAUUACGUCCCUGCCCUUUGUACACACCGCCCGUCGCUCCUACCGAUUGGAACAUACGGUGAAAAUCUCGGAGAGGGCAGUUCUUGCUGCAGAGUUCACUUUGCAGCUCCUGUCUUCAAAGUUAUUUAA
rnacentral:rRNA from 1 species